rnacentral:tRNA from 1 species
GCCCUGGUGGCUCAGACGGUAAAGCGUCUGCCUGCAAUGCAGGAGACCCAGGUUCGAUCCCUGGGUUGGGAA